CACCUUGACCUGCCACUCUGUUGCUGUUUUCAGCCCACCAAGCACAUCCAAAGGGACUGUGGACCCAUCCUUGCUUCAAAAAAUGGGAAAAGGAAAUAUUUAGAGAGUAUUUAAUUAAUGACCUAAUUACAGCACAGGCUAAGACAGAGGCCUUUGCUGUAGCAGCAGCAGCAGCUAACCCUGCCUGACGUAUAUUUGCCACAGAAAUGAGUGGUAAAUUUGCUUCCAGUAUGAGAGAAAUCCCAAAUCUGAGUCCAAGACGCAAAUUGAGUCUGUAGGUUGUGGCACUCAACCUACCCAGUGCCAGGUCCAGCUGAGGUCGUGGACAGACCCUGGUGGAGCAGUUCCACACACCCAGGGUGGGAGAUAAGGUACAGUUCUGAACCCCUGCCACAAAGCAGCUGUUGUCACACAAGCUGAGGCAGAAGAGGAAAAAAACAGAAGCAGAACCAACAAGGCUGAAUAUUCAAAGCUGACUGGGUGGAAGAGCCUUUACUAACUACUCAUCUUGUGAAAAUACAUUUAA